ensembl:lncRNA
GGGGGGGACAUCAGACUGCCUCUCAGUGGGGGGACAUCAGACUGCCUCUCAGUGGGGGGACAUCAGACUGAUGGAAGGACUGUCUCUCAGUGGGGGGACAUCAGACUGAUGGAAGGACUGACUGUCUCUCAGUGGGGGACAUCAGAGUGAUGGAAGGACUGCCUCUCAGUGGGGGGACAUCAGAGUGAUGGAAGGACUGCCUCUCAUGGGGGACAUCAGACUGAUGGAAGGACAGUCUCUCAGUGGGGGGACAUCAGACUGCCUCUCAGUGGGGGGACAUCAGACUGAUGGAAGGACAGUCUCUCAGUGGGGGGACAUCAGACUGAUGGAAGGACAGUCUCUCAUGGGGGGGACAUCAGACUGCCUCUCAG